rnacentral:rRNA from 1 species
CAGUAGCCGCGGGAAAACGUAGGGGGCAAGCGUUAUCCGGAAUUACUGGGUGUAAAGGGAGCGUAGACGGUUAAACAAGUCUGAAGUGAAAUGCCGGGGCUCAACCCCGGAGCUGCUUUGGGAACUGCAGAACUGGAGUGUCGGAGGGGUAAGCGGAAUUCCCAGUGUAGCGGUGAAAUGCGUAGAUAUUGGGAGGAACACCGGCGGCGAAGGCGGCUUACCGGACGACAACUGACGUUGAGGCUCGAAGGCGUGGGUAGCAAACAGGAUUAGAUACCCCUGUAGUCCCUGUCUCUUAUAA